UACGGGGGGGGGCAAGCGUUGUUCGGAAUUACUGGGCGUAAAGGGCUCGUAGGCGGCCAACUAAGUCGGAUGUGAAAUCCCCCAGGCUCAACCUGGGAACUGCAUCCGAUACUGGAUGGCUUGAAUCCGGGAGAGGGAUGCAGAAUUCCAGGUGUAGCGGUGAAAUGCGUAGAUAUCUGGAGGAACACCAAGGCGAAGGCAGCUCGCUGGGACGGUACUGACGCUGAGGCGCGAAAGCGUGGGGAGCAAACAGG
rnacentral:rRNA from 1 species